UCUCUCUAGGUGGUAGCGCUUUCCUACCUACCAACAGUCCGGCAUGUGCGCGAAAAUUAAAGCGCCAGCGACAUGACAUGCAAUGUUGGCUUUGCGCAAAGAUCAAUCGCAUGAAUACGCACACGCACAAACGAUCACACAAUUAUUCGGCUAAGGGCGCGUAUCGUGUCCUCUAUUUUUUGUUUAUUUUUUUCUCAAAUAUCUCACACUCAAAUCCCACGUUACAAACUCUAUGACCAGGUGUGUAUAUAUACACAACCCCGCUGCCUAAAGGUUAGACCUACUCGGACUGGAGCUCUAAUCAACAACUCAAACUAUGAAACCAACACCGUAACACACUACGGAUCCUACCUUGACUCAACUACACAAGAUUAGUCCUAACAAUCUCCCCCUAAUCUUGAAGUUGUUAUCUUCCGCGCUCCUCCUGCUUUUGGCUUUCUUUUCAGCUUCACGACUCGUCGACUCAACUCAAUGCAUGAUCCGGACUACCAGCCCACGCGGACACAUCUCGUGUGCUACGUGCAGAUUAGACACACCAUUAAUCUCACGCAGGAACUCAACUAAACUGGUCAUGGUCCCACUACACGCCA
rnacentral:lncRNA from 1 species